GAGGGGCAGUCCCCAGUGCCCUGCUGCAUGGCUGCUCUGAGAACACAGCAGUGGGGAACCCUCGGACCACUGGCUGGUCAGAAAAAGGCAAGGAAGGCCCAGUCCUAUCUCCUGGGUGGUGGAAAGCCCAGCAGGUGUCUCCAGCCUUGGACUGCAUUGAAUUGCAACUAGGCAGAGUGCAAGAGGUGCCAGAGUGCAAGAGCUGGGCGAACCCCUCCAACGCACACACUUCUAGCCCGGGGAACUGGAGUGACAUAAUCCCUCUUACGGUCCAGCUGGAAGAGCUUUCUUCAUCUUAUUAACCUUCUGGAGCGGCAUCUGUCAACCCCAGAAGACUUCAACAGCACCAUGAUAAACAACAGAAGUCUCUUCUAGUUCCCAUUGCCUUCGAGCAUUGAUUCUUUUGGGCAUUCUGGAGUUUUCUCGUCUCCUCUGUGUCUCAGCCUGAAGUUGCUUUCCAGCUCACUAUGGUAUAUUAUUUUGAAAGCUGAGAGUGGAGUGAAGGAUUAUUGUGUUUAUUAGCUACACCUGGUAGAUAACUGCAAGGUUCCCACACUGGCUCCAGCUUCUUCGUGCCUCAAUGCAAUGAGGGUCAUCCCUGAAGGAUGCAGGCUUCAGAAACCAGGCUCUGUUUUCAGCUGAGCCUUAUGCUCUGCUCACUGCUGAUGGAAGAGGAUGUAUGUGCAUUCCUCUCGCCUUACCCCCGAGAGCAAUGAGCAGUGAACUGGGAUUCCUCAUCAUUCUGGUCUGAGACAGCAGAGAAUAGGCCCCCUUUGGGAUCCAGCAGCUUUGUGCAUCACACUGAUGAUCAGUCAGACAAAUGAUUUUGGAGGAGCCAGAUCAAGGCUGAUUCUGGCACAGAAGAAAUAAAAACCAGCAACUUUUCUGUAUAGCCUCAUACCUUCGUGAGACACACUGGCUGGCUGAGUGUCCUUAUUACCAAUUCUGCCUCUGUGCUGUGCACUUGUUAGAGGCAAGACAGGGCAGUGCCUCUGUCCCCAUACAGUUCACACAUAAACAUCUGGCUGCUUUUUACAGUUCCAGUUAGGAACAGCACUGCCCUGUGCCAUGCAGCCACCUUCUACAACCCCCUGAGCUUCAUUUCUUACAGACUCUGAGCUCAGCCUUGCUCCAGACUCUUCCUGUGUGCCUC